UGGGCUGUGUAAAGCUUUCCUGGGGCAC
rnacentral:piRNA from 1 species